rnacentral:rRNA from 1 species
UGAGGAAUAUUGCGCAAUGGGGGAAACCCUGACGCAGCCAUGCCGCGUGAAUGACGAAGGCCCUAGGGUUGUAAAGUUCUUUCAGAUGCGAAGAUAAUGACGGUAACAUCAGAAGAAGCUCCGGCUAAAUUCGUGCCAGCAGCCGCGGUAAUACGAAUGGAGCGAGCGUUGUUCGGAAUCAUUGGGCGUAAAGCGUAUGUAGGCGGACAUGAAAGUCAGAAGUGAAAUCCCGAGGCUCAACCUCGGAAUUGCUUUUGAAACUCCAUGUCUUGAAUCCCGGAGGGGUAGACGGAAUUCCGAGUGUAGAGGUGAAAUUCGCAGAUAUUCGGAGGAACACCAGAGGCGUAGGCGGUCUACUGGACGGGUAUUGACGCUGAGAUACGAAAGCGUGGGGAGCAAACAGG